UACGUAGGGGGCAAGCGUUGUCCGGAAUCAUUGGGCGUAAAGCGCGUGUAGGCGGUCCGGUAAGUCGGCUGUGAAAGUCCAGGGCUCAACCCUGGGAUGCCGGUCGAUACUGCCGGACUAGAGUUCGGAAGAGGCGAGUGGAAUUCCCGGUGUAGCGGUGAAAUGCGCAGAGAUCGGGAGGAACACCAAUGGCGAAAGCAGGUACCUGGACUAUUACUGACACUAAGCUGCGAAAGCUAGGGGAGCAAACAGG
rnacentral:rRNA from 1 species